AACGCAAAUUGCGCCCAAGGCUUCGGCCGAGGGCAUGUCUGCCUCAGCGUCGGCUUUACACCCUCGCCCUGCCCUCCCCCGGGAGGCAGGAGCGGUUCUGGCUUUCCCGGCUCUGUCUGGUGUCAUCACCUGGCAACCGGGUUUGUCGAAGCUCAGAGACUUGAGCAUGGACCCCGUUUGCAGGGCAAUAACUUGGUAGGUAGGCACCCCCUGCACGACCUGUUGUUGCCCGAGGGGACUUUGCUGGAGGUCUAGCAGGAAUCGGGAUCCGGCUUUUGGUCGGCCUGAAUACAACCUUCGACCUGAGCUCAGGCAAGACUACCCGCUGAACUUAA
rnacentral:misc_RNA from 1 species